rnacentral:rRNA from 1 species
UACGAAGGGGGCUAGCGUUGUUCGGAAUCACUGGGCGUAAAGCGCGUGUAGGCGGCUUUGCAAGUCGGAUGUGAAAGCCCACGGCUCAACCGUGGAAGUGCAUCCGAAACUGCAUGGCUUGAGUCUCGGAGAGGAAGGUGGAAUGCUUGGUGUAGAGGUGAAAUUCGUAGAUAUCAAGCAGAACACCUGCGGCGAAGGCGGCCUUCUGGACGAUGACUGACGCUGAGACGCGAAAGCGUGGGGAGCAAACAGG